CGUGCAGGCGGUUUCGUAAGUCGGACGUGAAAGCUCCUGGCUUAACUGGGAGACGCCGUUCGAAACUGCGAGACUUGAGGUCGGGAGAGGGACGUGGAAUUCCCGGUGUAGUGGUGGAAUGCGUAGAUAUCGGGAGGAACACCAGUGGCGAAGGCGGCGUCCUGGCCCGCACCUGACGCUAAGACGCGAAAGCGUGGGUAGCGAACG
rnacentral:rRNA from 1 species